CUUGAAGUGUCGCCAUGUUGCUGCAUGGCCUGUCAGUUUUAGUCCACCUGCUGCUGACGCCUAUCGUCCACCUUCCUGUGGAGCUCAUGGAUGCGGUGAACAGCUUUGCUGACACUUGGAUGGGGACUGUUGAGCGGUGCACUUGUGCGGCAGCAUCCGGAGGAGACGUGUCAGGGUGAGAGAAGCAAACUCCCGGCAGAGCCAAGAUGGGGAAAGUGCGCCAUCUGGAGAGGAAACUGGAGUACCCGAAGAAAACCCACGCAGGCACGGGGAGAACAUGCAAACUCCACAAAGAAAUGCUGGAGUCAGGAACCAACCCUACAUCUCUGUACUGUGAUGCGGACGAGGCAACCAGUUUACCACCGUACUACCGAACAACUCCAUAAUUACCUGAAUUCAUACAUUUCGCUUUCAUGCAUGUAUGUAAUGAGAUAUUUAAAGGAAUAAAAACUGAAAUUGAGUGUCACACCUAAACCAAAGGACUUAUGCAACACAUUUCAACAUGCAUUUUGUUCAAGACAUCCUGCAGCCUAAAUGAACAUUAAUUUGAUCAUACAACUCAUUCCUAUGAAGAAGCAUUCAAACUCAGAAAACAUGCUCAGCUCGGCCUAAAAAUGCAUUUAAACAUGAAUGAAUCAUUCUGUAUUAUUAACCAGUAUGAUUCUGAAAUGGCUAAGCCACACUGGCACAUUGGUUAAUAUUUUGUAUACAGAAUUUUAUAAAGAAUCGAGAAUCAAGUUACUCGGUGUCCCACUUUUUGUGUGAAGUAAUUCUAUGACUCUGUGACCAUAAUGGAU